AUCCAGGCACAUCAAACUGUAUCUGAGGGAAGGGGAAUGAGGUAGUUAAUGAGGUCCGUGGCAAACCAAAAAGCAUGUAAGCUGCCUAAAUAAUCACUACUCAGUUCAACUAAUUCUUGCUCUAUUAAAAAAAAAAGUGAGUAUUCUCAUAUACUUAUUCAAGGCAGUGUAGGACGAGGUCAUGCAGAGGACACGAUGCGCAGUUGACGAGGGCAGAGGCUCCUCCCACUUGCACACCCUUCCUUGGAAGGCACUUUUUGCCGGGCUGCGCGCCCAGGUCUGUGCGCCAUUUUCAGGGAGGCCGACUUGAGAGAGCUCAUUUUUGAGACCCUCCGGACGGGGUGAUUGUGGAGCUCUUCUUGUCUCUUGGCUGCUCAGGACAAGCCUCUUGCUUAGAAACCUGUCACCUAUCCAUCCCGAAUGAUCGGCCUCUUUCUUGGACCUCGCAGUCUCUUCUGAUAGGCGUCUUUGGGAGCCAUUUUCAGAUUUCACACCAGGAACUACCAAAUUUGUGAACUAAAAGAAAGGUGCCCAAAGUCUAGGAAAGCAGCCUGUUAUGAGUUUCUUCCCACACACAUAAAUAGGAGGAAACACAUAUUGGAAUGGAUCUUGCCCACGUGGACAAAAGGCAUUUAUUAUUUGCAUGUGCCCCAUUCACAACUUGCCUUCCUUUGCAUUCAAGCAUCCUCGUGAUAAGCUUUCCACCUAUAAUAUCUUAAACCACCUAAGUUUGCAAGGUCACAAAAUAAAUAGAUUUUAUUUAUGUGUGCAUGUGUGAGUUUGGGGGAGUUAAAUGCAUCUCUCUGUAAGGAGUAUAAUCCUUCUUCCUUGGGAAAAAAAAUUAAAAUAAAAGACAAAGGGAACACAUUAGCUACUUUUCUUUCUUUCUUUCUUUUUUCUUUUUUUAGGCUUUAUUCAAUCUAUAACUUUUGUUUAUUGACAAUUUUUUCCCUG